AGUACUCACUGCAGAGACAAAUGGAAAUGAGUCCACUCUAGGAAGAAGAAUAACUGGAAGCUUGAGCUGUGUAAAUGUGACUUGGAAAUGUGACUUCAGGAGAAAGAACCAGGAAAUGAGCUGCUGUAUGAUGAGGAACUCAAACAGCCCUCUGAAGAGAAACACAUAUAAAGGAACUGAAGCCUCCUGUCAAUAACCAGCACUAAUUUGCCAGGAACAUGAGUAAGCUAAUUGGAGGUGAAUCCUGCAGCUUCAGUCAAGCCUUUGCUAACAUCUUGCCUGGAACUCAUGAGAGAUUACCAGCUAAAAUUACCAGAACACCCAGCUAAGCUGUUCCCAAAUUCCUGAUCCAUGGAAAUUCUCAGGAAAAAGUGAUUGUGACAAAGCAUGCACUGACUCUUAAAGCUUCCACAUGGAAAUGGCACAUGACAUUUCUCUUCAACAUUUCUUUGCCCAAGACCCAUUUCCUCACAUACCAAGUGUCAGACCUGGAGUCAUCUGCUUCCAUUCAAAGGGCAAUAAAACUUUUCUUCUCGGGUGCCAAGUGCUUGCAUAAUGGGGGCAGGGAUCUUCACCUUUCUCUUCUCAGAGAAAACUCAGCUUACUUUAGAGAAGAGAGUGGUAUGUGUAGAGCAAUAUCUACAUAAACUUCCAAAUUCACAAGCUUGGAUUUCUUCUUUUGUAGUGCAAAAUAUAUUCUGUCAGUAUGUACAGGGUUUCACAGGCAUCUGUGUGAAAAGACCACCAAACAGGCUUUGUGUGAGCAACAAGGCUGAUUAUUUCACCUGGGUGCAGG